rnacentral:misc_RNA from 1 species
GAUGAAGAACGUAGCGAAAUGCGAUAAGUAGUGUGAAUUGCAGAAUUCAGUGAAUCAUCGAAUCUUUGAACUCACAUUGCGCCCCUUGGUAUUCCAUGGGGCAUGCCUGUUCGAGCGUCAUUUGUACCUUCAAGCUUUGCUUGGUGUUGGGUGUUUGUCUCGCCUUUGCGUGUAGACUCGCCUUAAAAUAAUUGGCAGCCGGCGUAUUGAUUUCGGAGCGCAGUACAUCUCGCGCUUUGCACUCAUAACGACAGCGUCCAAAAGUACAUUUUACACUCUUGACCUCGGAUCAGGUAGGGAUACCCGCUGAACUUAAGCAUAUCAAUAAGCGGAGGA